AUUGAACGCUGGCGGCAGGCCUAACACAUGCAAGUCGAGCGUGCGGCGGCCGGGUGAGUAAUGUUUGGGAAACUGCCUGCUGGCGGGGGAUCACUACUGGAAACGGUAGCUAAUACCGCAUACCAUCCGAUGUGCCCAGAUGGGCUUAGCUAGUAGGUGGGGUAAUGGCCCACCUAGGCGACGAUCCCUAGCUGGUCUGCGAGGAUGACCAGCCACACUGUAACUGAGACACGGUCAAGACGCCUACGGGAGGCGGCAGAGGGGAAUAUUGCACGAUGGGGGAAGGACUGAUGCGGCAAUGCCGCGUGUGUGAAGAAGGCCUGCGGGUUGAAAAGCACUGGCAUCGGGGAGGCGUUACCCGCAGAAGAAGCACCGGCUAACUCCGUGCCAGCCGCCGCGGUAAUUC
rnacentral:rRNA from 1 species